rnacentral:rRNA from 2 species
UGUAGCAAGGUUAACCGUAUAGGGGAGCCGCAGGGAAACCGAGUCUUAACUGGGCGUUAAGUUGCAGGGUAUAGACCCGAAACCCGGUGAUCUAGCCAUGGGCAGGUUGAAGGUUGGGUAACACUAACUGGAGGACCGAACCGACUAAUGUUGAAAAAUUAGCGGAUGACUUGUGGCUGGGGGUGAAAGGCCAAUCAAACCGGGAGAUAGCUGGUUCUCCCCGAAAGCUAUUUAGGUAGCGCCUCGUGAAUUCAUCUUCGGGGGUAGAGCACUGUUUCGGCUAGGGGGUCAUCCCGACUUACCAACCCGAUGCAAACUACGAAUACCGAAGAAUGUUAUCACGGGAGACACACGGCGGGUGCUAACGUCCGUCGUGAAGAGGGAAACAACCCAGACCGCCAGCUAAGGUCCCAAAGUCAUGGUUAAGUGGGAAACGAUGUGGGAAGGCACAGACAGCCAGGAUGUUGGCUUAGAAGCAGCCAUCAUUUAAAGAAAGCGUAAUAGCUCACUGGUCGAGUCGGCCUGCGCGGAAGAUGUAACGGGGCUAAACCAUGCACCGAAGCUGCGGCAGCGACACUAUGUGUUGUUGGGUAGGGGAGCG